rnacentral:rRNA from 1 species
UGGGGAAUAUUGGACAAUGGAGGAAACUCUGAUCCAGCAAUUCUGUGUGUGUGAAGAAGGUUUUAGGACUGUAAAACACUUUUAGUAGGGAAGAAAAAAAUGACGGUACCUACAGAAGAAGCAACGGCUAAAUACGUGCCAGUAGCCGCGGUAAUACGUAUGUUGCGAGCGUUAUCCGGAAUUAUUGGGCUUAAAGGGCAUCUAGGCGGUAAGACAAGUUGAAGGUGAAAACCUGUGGCUCAACCAUAGGCUUGCCUACAAAACUGUUGAACUAGAGUACUGGAAAGGUGGGUGGAACUACACGAGUAGAGGUGAAAUUCGUAGAUAUGUGUAGGAAUGCCGAUGAUGAAGAUAACUCACUGGACAGAAACUGACGCUGAAGUGCGAAAGCUAGGGGAGCAAACAGG